rnacentral:rRNA from 1 species
GACGAACGCUGGCGGCGUGCUUAACACAUGCAAGUCGAGCGGUAAGGCCCUUUCGGGGGUACGACGAGCGGCGAACGGGUGAGUAACACGUGGGUGACCUGCCCUCCAGCUCUGGGAUAAGCCUGGGAAACCGGGGUCUAAUACCGGAUAUGACUCCAUGACGCAUGUUGUGGGGUGGAAAGCCUUGUGCGGCUGAGGAUGGGCCCGCGGCCUAUCAGCUUGUUGGUGGGGUGAUGGCCUACCAAGGCGACGACGGGUAGCCGGCCUGAGAGGGCGACCGGCCACACUGGGACUGAGGCACGGCCCAGACUCCUACGGGA